GACGAACGCUGGCGGCGUGCCUAAUACAUGCAAGUCGAACGCAGUGGGGACGGGUGAGUAACACGUGGGUAACCUCCCAUCAGAGGGGAUAACACUUGGAAACAGGUGCUAAACCGAUACUGAUUGAUGGACCCGCUGUGCACUAGCUAGGUGGUGAGGUAACGGCUCACCAAGGCGACGAUGCAUAGCCGGCCUGAGAGGGGGAUCGGCCACACUGGGACUGAGACCCGGCCCAGACGCCUACGUGAGGACGCAGGAGGGAAUCUUGGGCAAUGGGCGAAAGUCUGACCGAGCAACGCCGCGUGAGUGAAGAAGGUUUUCGGAUCGUAAAACUCUGUUGGUAGAGAAGCGGUAUCUAACCAGAAAGCCACGGCUAACUACGUGCCAGCCGCCGCGGUAAUAC
rnacentral:rRNA from 1 species